rnacentral:tRNA from 1 species
UUGCUUUGGGAGCCAAGGAUAAGGGUUUGCCCCCCUUUUUCCUGA